CCUACGGGAGGCAGCAGUGGGGAAUAUUGGGCAAUGGCCGCAAGCCUGAACCAGCAACGCCGCGUGAAGGAAGAAGGCUUUCGGGUUGUAAACUUCUUUUAAGAGGGAAGAGCAGAAGACGGUACCUCUCGAAUAAGCAACGGCUAACUACGUGCCAGCAGCCGCGGUAAUACGGAGGUGGCAAGCGUUGUCCGGAUUUACUGGGUGUACAGGGCGUGUAGCCGGGCUGAGAAGUCAGAUGGGAAAUUCAGGGGGUCAACCCCGGACCUGAAUUUGAAACUGUUGGUCUUGAGUAUCGGAGAGGCAGGCGGAAUGCCUGGUGUAGCGGUGAAAUGCGUAGAUAUUAGGAGGAACACCGGUGGCGAAGGCGGCCUGCUGGACGGCAACUGACGGUGAGGCGCGAAAGCGUGGGGAGCAAACAGGAUUAGAUACCCGUGUAGUC
rnacentral:rRNA from 1 species